rnacentral:tRNA from 1 species
GGCAGUAUGGCCCAGUGGUAAGGGCACCAGGCUCGAGUCCAGGAGACCUGGGUUCUGUUUCUCGCUCUGCCA